rnacentral:rRNA from 1 species
GUAAGGAAUAUUGGACAAUGGACGCAAGUCUGAUCCAGCCAUGCCGCGUGAAGGAUUAAGGUCCUCUGGAUUGUAAACUUCUUUUAUAAGGGACGAAAAAAGGCUUUUCUAAGUCGUCUGACGGUACCUUAUGAAUAAGCACCGGCUAACUCCGUGCCAGCAGCCGCGGUAAUACGGAGGGUGCAAGCGUUAUCCGGAUUCACUGGGUUUAAAGGGUGCGUAGGCGGGCAGGUAAGUCAGUGGUGAAAUCCUAGAGCUUAACUCUAGAACUGCCAUUGAUACUAUCUGUCUUGAAUAUUGUGGAAGUAAGCGGAAUAUGUCAUGUAGCGGUGAAAUGCUUAGAUAUGACAUAGAACACCUAUUGCGAAGGCAGCUUACUACGCAUAUAUUGACGCUGAGGCACGAAAGCGUGGGGAUCAAACAGGAUUAGAAACCCGGGUAGUCC